UGAGUUGUGGCUCAGACACUACAACAGAGCUCCGUCAUCUCUUUCUAAAAGCUGGGAAAUGGUUAUUGUCAACGCCAGCCCCAUUUUGGAGGCACCUGGCUGCAGGGGACCACAGCUAGACCUGAGUCAUCCCUGGAGUCUCACACUUGAUCUUAGCCAAAAGGCCGAGAAGCAAUCAUCCCUGGAGUCUCUCUGAAUCUGCCAUGAUCCUGGGAGCUACCCGAUUCGUGCAUUGUUCAUUGCUCAGUUAAACUCCUUUAAAUUUAA
rnacentral:antisense_RNA from 1 species